GGAUCGGUAGUUCAGUUGGUUAGAAUGCCGCCCUGUCACGGCGGAGGUCGCGGGUUCGAGUCCCGUCCGGUCCG
rfam:Bacteroidetes bacterium RIFCSPLOWO2_12_FTLL_37_12 rifcsplowo2_12_scaffold_119, whole genome shotgun sequence.